rnacentral:rRNA from 1 species
GACGUAGGGCGCAAGCGUUGUCCGGAUUUAUUGGGCGUAAAGAGCUCGUAGGCGGUGUGUCGCGUCGGCCGUGAAAACCUGCAGCUUAACUGUGGGCUUGCGGUCGAUACGGGCAUCACUGGAGUUCGGCAGGGGAGACUGGAAUUCCUGGUGUAGCGGUGAAAUGCGCAGAUAUCAGGAGGAACACCGGUGGCGAAGGCGGGUCUCUGGGCCGAUACUGACGCUGAGGAGCGAAAGCGUGGGGAGCAAACAGG